rnacentral:lncRNA from 1 species
GUCCUCAGAAGCCACGAGACAAACAGACACGGCUGAGCCAUACAUUUAAGGAAUCUUUUAAAGCCAAGGACUCCGAGCCUCCCAGCCAGGCUCUGGCCCUCCUGAUGUUGCUGACCUCCUGAGCAGGUAGAGAUAAAGAGUGCUGGGUAAUACAUCAGCCUGAUGGUUUCUUCAGACAGGCUGUCUUCAGGGCUCUAGAAGCCCAUACAGAAUAGAGCAGUUAGGAAGCAAGAUGAAGGCCGCAUGCACAAAGCCCUGGGUUUGAUCCCCAGACCCCCAUGAAUCAGACAUGGUGGUAAACACCUGCAAUCCUAGCAAUCAGGAGGUGAAAACAGGAGGAUUAAAGUGUCCAAGGUCAUCCUUGGCUACAUAAUACAUUCAAGACCAGACACAGCAACACAAGACCCUGCCUCCAGAAAAAAAGCAAUCUAACCCUGGCCAGGCCCCAUCAAGAUGCAAGGGUUGUGAGAGAAAGAUGGGUGGUGGCCACGGACAGAGUCUACGGACCAGGAAAUCGUGAGAAACACCGUGGACUUCAUGGGGUCUCCCGGUGGAGAAUUCUGAAGAUUGGUGCACCUUUCACUCCCAGACCACAGCCUCCCCAGUUCAUCCCAGCCAAGGAUGGAAGGGUCCCUCCCUACAUCGACAACAAGAGCCCACGGCUUCUCUCUCACCUGCGUAGGACAGCCGGUCACCAUGUUUGCUCUUUUUGAUGGAGGCUUGGGAAGGUGGAGACCGAACCAGGCUGUUCACACAUACAAACACAUUCCCCAUUUGUCUGGAAGAGAACCCGACUCUGCUGGGGAAACAUGCCAACCAGGUGUCCAUUCCACCCAAGCAGAGAGAAACUUGCAUUUUGCACGAAAGAAAAUGGGCUUGGUCCAAAGAAGACUUGAAGCUGCCACUUCCUCUGUGCCUGUCCAGCACUUACAGGUCGAGACGGGGUGCGGGGCUCAGAGCCCGGCUUCUGUUCUGAAAGCGCCAACACCCAGCUCACAGGCCAAUGGCCCUCCUUCCAGCUCAAAUGGCGGUACAUCAGCAUGCCUUUAAUCCCAGUACUCAGGAGGCAGAGGCAAAUGGAUCUCUGUGAGUUCAAGGCCAAUGUUGGCUACAGAGCAAGUUCCUGGACAGCCAGGGCUACACAAAGAAACCCUGUCUUAAUAAAACAAACAAGCAAACCAAAAAAAAAAAAAGUAGAGAGCAAUAGAGGAAGAUAAAGACACCCAGUGCUGACUUCUAGCUCCAUCCCAUAUGCACAACACCACACACACACACACACACACACACAGAGCCACAAAACAAAGGAGACUGCAGUUACUCCACAGUGGCAGUUGGAAAGUUCCAGUGUUUGGGUCAAAACAUUUUUAUGAAUACAUGCUUUUCAAAGCUGUAUCCAUCCAGUUGGGUGUGGCCAUCUCUGUACUCCCGGAGGAUGUGAGAAGCAAGCUUCAAAAGGAAUCUUUGCUUUUUCACUCUUUGGUGUGAUUUGGUGGCAGGUGGGACGUGUCCAUUUGGUUUUUUGUCUUGUUUUGGUUUGGUCUGGUCUGAUGUGGCUUGGUUUUAGGCACAAUCUCACCACUUAGCUCUGGUAAGCUCGGAGUUCACUAUGUAGACCAGGCUGGCCUCAAACUCACAGAGUUCUGCCUGCCUCUGCCUCCAGAGUACUGAGAUUAAAGGUGUGCGCCACCACACACAGCCUUGCCUUAUCUUUACUUUUUAACUUUAACAUUCAACUCAAUCUGUUUCUUAGGUCUGUUUAGGAUCUCGUUUUCCUGAGAUUGAUUUUCUUGUAAGUUCUUUAUUUUAUGUUUUGAUCGACACAUAAUAAACCCAUAUACUUAGAGCUUUUUUUCCUCCUUCCCUUUUGGGUAAAAGUCCCUGGCAUCCUUACAAGAUCCUCGAAGCCCCAGCUCAGGAAGAGAGAAAGGGAGAGAACACAUGCAGUAGGUCCUCUGUGGGGACCACGUCUCAAGUGCCAGCUGUGAAUCAUUAACGAUCAAUUCUUUGUGGGGAGGGGACUUUUGGGACUUUCUUUGUUGUACUUUUAACAAUCAGGAGCCACCUUCACCCAGCAGCUUCUCUGAGCUGUCACAUUAUUUAAAUGAGAGCCUGGGUGACAUUUGUAGAUGAAUGUUUCUCGGUAGAACCUAAAAAGAUGUGUUCUGAGCACAGCUUUGAUGGGCACAGUUCGGGCUUUAAAAAUAAAGGUUCUGAGCACUUUCA